UACAGAGGUCUCAAGCGUUGUUCGGAUUCAUUGGGCGUAAAGGGUGCGUAGGUGGCGUCGUAAGUCGGGUGUGAAAUUUCGGAGCUUAACUCCGAAACUGCAUUCGAUACUGCGGUGCUUGAGGACUGGAGAGGAGACUGGAAUUUACGGUGUAGCAGUGAAAUGCGUAGAGAUCGUAAGGAAGACCAGUGGCGAAGGCGGGUCUCUGGACAGUUCCUGACACUGAGGCACGGAAGGCCAGGGGAGCAAACGGG
rnacentral:rRNA from 1 species